rnacentral:rRNA from 1 species
UACGAAGGGGGCUAGCGUUGCUCGGAAUCACUGGGCGUAAAGCGCACGUAGGCGGCUUACUAAGUCAGGGGUGAAAUCCUGGAGCUCAACUCCAGAACUGCCUUUGAUACUGGUGAGCUUGAGUCCGGAAGAGGUGAGUGGAACUGCGAGUGUAGAGGUGAAAUUCGUAGAUAUUCGCAAGAACACCAGUGGCGAAGGCGGCUCACUGGCCCGAUACUGACGCUGAGGCACGAAAGCGAUGGG